UAACAAGGUCUCCGUAGGUGAACCUGCGGAGGGAUCAUUACAAGAACGCCCGGGCUUCGGCCUGGUUAUUCAUAACCCUUUGUUGUCCGACUCUGUUGCCUCCGGGGCGACCCUGCCUUCGGGCGGGGGCUCCGGGUGGACACUUCAAACUCUUGCGUAACUUUGCAGUCUGAGUAAACUUAAUUAAUAAGUUAAAACUUUUAACAACGGAUCUCUUGGUUCUGGCAUCGAUGAAGAACGCAGC
rnacentral:misc_RNA from 1 species